rnacentral:rRNA from 1 species
UACGUAGGGUGCAAGCGUUGUCCGGAAUUAUUGGGCGUAAAGAGCUCGUAGGCGGUUCGUCACGUCGGCUGUGAAAACCUGAGGCUCAACCUCAGGCCUGCAGUCGAUACGGACGGACUCGAGUUCGGCAGGGGAGACUGGAAUUCCUGGUGUAGCGGUGAAAUGCGCAGAUAUCAGGAGGAACACCGGUGGCGAAGGCGGGUCUCUGGGCCGAUACUGACGCUGAGGAGCGAAAGCGUGGGGAGCGAACAGG